GACGAACGCUGGCGGCGUGCUUAACACAUGCAAGUCGAACGGAAAGGCCCUGCUUUUGUGGGGUGCUCGAGUGGCGAACGGGUGAGUAACACGUGAGUAACCUGCCCUUGACUUUGGGAUAACUUCAGGAAACUGGGGCUAAUACCGGAUAGGAGCUCCUGCUGCAUGGUGGGGGUUGGAAAGUUUCGGCGGUUGGGGAUGGACUCGCGGCUUAUCAGCUUGUUGGUGGGGUAGUGGCUUACCAAGGCUUUGACGGGUAGCCGGCCUGAGAGGGUGACCGGCCACAUUGGGACUGAGAUACGGCCCAGACUGCUACGGGAGGCAGCAGUGGGAAAUAUGGCACAAUGGGCGGAAGCCUGAUGCAACAACGCCGCGUGCGGGAUGACGGCCUUCGGGUUGUAAACAGCUUUCGCCUGUGACGAAGCGUGAGUGACGGUAAUGGGUAAAGAAGCACCGGCUAACUACGUG
rnacentral:rRNA from 1 species